GUGCUCACUUAGGCAGCACAUACACUAAAAUUGUAACAAUACAAAUAUCAGCAUGGCCCCUGCACAAGGAUGACACGCAAAUUUGUGAAGCAUUCCAUAUUUUU
ensembl:snRNA U6 U6 spliceosomal RNA